UCAGGAACCUCUACAGAAAGAGCUGCCCCAUUUAAUCAUAGAAUAUUAAGGGGUUGGAAUGGACCUUAAGGAUCAUCUUGCCCCAACAUUCCCUGCCAUGGUCAGGGAUACCUCUCACUAGACCACAUUACUCAAGGCUAUAUCCAAGGCUUUAUCCAACCUUGGACACUGCCAAGGUUGGGGCAUCCACAACCUCCCCGUUCCAGUGUCUCACCACCCUCACAGUACAAUAUUUCUUCCCACUGGAAUGGUAAAAGCAGCACGUGUAUCCAUGAAGGACAGUGGUCUUACUCCAUGGUGUUAGCGUGACUCCUCCUUUUCCAAAACCUCAGUAAAAGGGAGGAAUUUAAACCUGAGAAAGAACCAAACAUGUCACCUGUAACAUGUAACACUUCUUUUGAAUUGUCAGAAGCAAGUUAACCCCUUACACCACUCUUCUAGCUGUUACCUCAUUUGAAAAUGGCAAAUAAACUGACCCUCACCAAUAAUCUGGA